rnacentral:rRNA from 1 species
UACGUAGGGUGCAAGCGUUGUUCGGAAUUACUGGGCGUAAAGCGCGCGUAGGCGGGCUAGAAAGUCGAUUGUGAAAUCCCCGGGCUUAACCUGGGAACUGCGCUUGUGACUGCAAGACUCGAGUACGGCAGAGGGGGGUAGGAUUCCACGUGUAGCAGUGAAAUGCGUAGAGAUGUGGAGGAAUACCGAUGGCGAAGGCAGCCCCCUGGGUCGAUACUGACGCUCAUGCACGAAAGCGUGGGGAGCAAACAGG